AGAGUUUGAUCCUGGCUCAGGACGAACGCUGGCGGCGCGCCUAACACAUGCAAGUCGAACGAGCGAGAGAGAGCUUGCUUUCUCGAGCGAGUGGCGAACGGGUGAGUAACGCGUGAGGAACCUGCCUCAAAGAGGGGGACAACAGUUGGAAACGACUGCUAAUACCGCAUAAGCCCACGGGUCGGCAUCGACCAGAGGGAAAAGGAGCAAUCCGCUUUGAGAUGGCCUCGCGUCCGAUUAGCUAGUUGGUGAGGUAACGGCCCACCAAGGCAACGAUCGGUAGCCGGACUGAGAGGUUGAACGGCCACAUUGGGACUGAGACACGGCCCAGACUCCUACGGGAGGCAGCAGUGGGGAAUAUUGCACAAUGGGGGAAACCCUGAUGCAGCGACGCCGCGUGGAGGAAGAAGGUCUUCGGAUUGUAAACUCCUGUUGUUGAGGAAGAUAAUGACGGUACUCAACAAGGAAGUGACGGCUAACUACGUGCCAGCAGCCGCGGUAAAACGUAGGUCACAAGCGUUGUCCGGAAUUACUGGGUGUAAAGGGAGCGCAGGCGGGAAGACAAGUUGGAAGUGAAAUCCAUGGGCUCAACCCAUGAACUGCUUUCAAAACUGUUUUUCUUGAGUAGUGCAGAGGUAGGCGGAAUUCCCGGUGUAGCGGUGGAAUGCGUAGAUAUCGGGAGGAACACCAGUGGCGAAGGCGGCCUACUGGGCACCAACUGACGCUGAGGCUCGAAAGUGUGGGUAGCAAACAGGAUUAGAUACCCUGGUAGUCCACACCGUAAACGAUGAUUACUAGGUGUUGGAGGAUUGACCCCUUCAGUGCCGCAGUUAACACAAUAAGUAAUCCACCUGGGGAGUACGACCGCAAGGUUGAAACUCAAAGGAAUUGACGGGGGCCC
rnacentral:rRNA from 1 species